GAUCGUGAGGGCGCAGCCGCCUCAGCCCCCGGCAGCGACCCCUCAGCAACGGCCCCUCGGCUCCUUCCCGGAAUAACAGAGGUCACUGGGCCCAAGGCAGGGCUCUGAAGAGAUCACAGAAGAGUUGGGGUUGGAGGGGGCCUCUGGCGAUAGCCCAGCCCAGCCCCUGCCCAAGCAGGGUCAGCAGGUGGCACAGGGACACGUCCAGGGAGCUCCUGGUUACCUGCUCUGCAGGUGGAUGUCCACAGGGAUGAAGGUCACCGAGGGCUGCUGGGCCAGGCUGUGGCUGCUGUGCCCCACAGGAGGUGGCACUGCCAGCUUGGAGCCCUUGGGUUCCAGCUCCCGCCGCACUCGCAUGCGCCUGGCAAAGGGUGGAAGGUGCCAGUCCUGCUCUUACCUGGAGUACCAGCUCCAUUCCUGCCCUGUGAAUCAGCAGGUUACACCUGACCAAGCCUCUGCUGCAAGAAAGACCCAGAAAAGCCCAGCAAAAUCCAUGGGAACCUACUGAUUUUCAGCCUGGGUUCUACUCUGUUCAGAAAAACAUUUGGAAAAUCAGGAGUGCUGGAUAAAAGCCAUUCAGCAGGGGAGAAGAAGUGGACUUUGAUACAGUAAUCACAGGACAUUCUUUGUCCAUGACACAGGGCUGCACUUCCCCCUGUGCACACACACCUGCCUGGCCUCUCAGAGCCUCUCAUUCACUCUCACUCUCCACACUUUUGGUUAUUUUUGCAUGCCCACGUUAUGGAGCUGGAAAUGUUUCCAUAAAGUUCAGCUUUGGGCACGUUUCCAUUUCAAACACCUUGGCAGAUACAGGGGAUGGGUUGUUCUGUCAAGGGGGGAAGUGCCCCCUUUUCCAAAGCCUCCCUUCUGCUGCCCCUGCCCUGCUGGGCUGGGUUUGUUUGUGAGGAGAUGGGGAUCAGAGCUCACCUGUCAGCAGCACCUGGCAAUUACAGCAGAGGGGCCACAGGGAACAGAGGGGAUUGUUUGAGGGUUUUCCCAGGGUGGCUGGACUUGGGGAGGCAGCUCCCUGCCAGGGAAGGCAGGUGCUGGUUAGGAGGACACAGGUUCAGAGCUUUCACCUGGGGAAAGGUGGGGUUUGCAUGGAGCUGUUCCUGCCCUCACCUUCCCAGCACCCCGGGAACACCGCCAGGGAUUGAGGCAAGCUGUGAUUUCAGGGAGUAGUGAAAACAUUAUGUCCUUCAGUGAGACCUGAACGUGCCUGGGUUUACCUUGAGAGGCUCCAGAAAGGGAGGAAGGAGGAAAGAAAAGCCCAGGUUGAAAGUGGCCUGAGGCAAACAACCCUCCCUGUGUGAGCCUGAGUGUCCCCCUGUCAGGGCAGCACCUUUACAUGAGCAUUUUCUCAGGUUCUGGCAUGAGCUGCCCAGGCUGAGCUGCUGCUAAAACACACAUUAAAAGCAGUUCAUUGCCUUGCCAAGACAGAGGGGCACAAACCGCAGGCAGCUCUGGGCAGUAGCAGCAACUAAAAACCCCUCAGUAAUUUUACCUGCCUGCUUUAGAUCAUGAGAGGCACCAAAACCCCUCAGCUCCCACAGGUGACAAGAAGUGACAACAGGAACACCCUCAUUUCUAAAGCCUGGAAAUAUAAACUUGAUAGACUUCUGUCACUGACUCAUCCAGAGCAGUGUCUAAAGCAGACUGUGAACUGCACAUUGCCCAAUUAGGUUUUCUUUAAAGCCAGCAAUUAAAGGGUCAUAUAAAAAGGAGGGAGAGGGGCUUUUCAUGCAGGCAGCACAAGGGGGAAUGGCUUCCCACUG